AGAGUUUGAUCCUGGCUCAGAAUGAACGCUGGCGGCGUGCCUAACACAUGCAAGUCGAGCGGUAAGGCCCCUUCGGGGGUACACGAGCGGCGAACGGGUGAGUAACGCGUGGGUAACCUACCCAGAAGUGGGGGAUAGCCCCGGGAAACCGGGGGUAAUACCGCAUGUGCAUCGGUCGACGCGAGUCGGCCGAUGGAAAGCCGGGGAUCCUUCGGGACCUGGCGCUUCUGGAUGGGCCCGCGUCCGAUUAGCUAGUUGGCAGGGUAACGGCCUACCAAGGCGACGAUCGGUAGCCGGCCUGAGAGGGUGAUCGGCCACAUUGGGACUGAGACACGGCCCAGACUCCUACGGGAGGCAGCAGUGGGGAAUUUUGGGCAAUGGGCGCAAGCCUGACCCAGCGACGCCGCGUGGGGGAUGAAGGCCCUCGGGUUGUAAACCCCUGUCAGGUGGGAAGAAAGGUCUGCCGGCAAACAGUCGGCAGACCCUGACGGUACCGCCAAAGGAAGCCCCGGCUAACUCCGUGCCAGCAGCCGCGGUAAUACGGAGGGGGCAAGCGUUAUUCGGAUUUACUGGGCGUAAAGCGCACGUAGGCGGCAAGGCAAGUCAAAGGUGAAAGCCCUCGGCUCAACUGAGGAACUGCCUUUGAAACUGCCCUGCUUGAGUCCGGGAGGGGAGAGCGGAAUUUCCCAGUGUAGCGGUGAUAUGCGUAGAUACUGGGAGGAGCACCGGUGGCGAUUGGCGGCUCUCUGGACCGGCACUGACGCUUGAGGGGGGAAAGCGGAAGAUGAGACUACAGUGCA
rnacentral:rRNA from 1 species